rnacentral:lncRNA from 1 species
GGCAACUUUUACCUGGAAGUUGUCUUUGCAAUACGUGUUAAAUAUGCUUAAAAUUGUCGACUAAACCUAAGCAAAAUACUCAAGAAAUGAGCCUUAAACCUUCCAUAAAUGGUGAUUGGUGAGGUAAGUCUUAGGAUCAAGUUGAGCACAUUUACAACUCCAGAACUUUCAAGGAGAAAAAACGAAAACCUAACAAAUAAAAUUGUCGACUAAACCUAAGCAAAAUACUCAAGAAAUGAGCCUUAAACCUUCCAUAAAUGGCGAUUGGUGAGGUAAGUCUUAGGAUCAAGUUGAGCACAUUUACAACUCCAGAACUUUCAAGGAGAAAAAACGAAAACCUAACAAAUUAUUCAGGUCUGGCAUGCAUCUCUUUCUACUAAGAUCAACAAUUUGCUC